rnacentral:misc_RNA from 1 species
CACACAUAUAUUUAGGCUUAGAGUCUUAGCAUUUUCAGAUCAGAAUUAAUCCAGCUGUUUCUCCCACCAAAGCCAAUAUAAUUAAAAAUGUUAAGUUCCAGUGACCAGAAACUUGCUCACAUAGCUCUCCUCCCAAGUGCAGGCAUGGGUCAUCUCACACCCUUCUUUAGGCUUGCUGCUUUACUCGCAGGCAAUAAUAUCAAAGUAACAUUCAUCACUCCUAGUCCAACAGUCUCCUUGGCUGAGUCACAGACCUUAUUUCGCUUCUUCGCUUCCUUUCCGGAAAUCAAUCAAAAGCAGUUUCAUCUCCUUCCUCUUGACAAGCAUCCCUCCAACUCAGAAGACCCUUUCUAUUACCAUAUGGAACGAAUUUGUCAAUCCUCUCACCUUCUUUCUUCCCUGCUUUCUUCACUAUCUCCACCUCUCUCUGCUCUUAUCACAGACAUGAGCUUGGCCUCUCCUGCUAUUUCAAUCCUCUCACCUUCUUUCUUCCCUGCUUUCUUCACUAUCUCCACCUCUCUCUGCUCUUAUCACAGACAUGAGCUUGGCCUCUCCUGCUAUUUCAAUCACUCAAGCUCUUAAUCUUCCUAAUUAUGUUUUCUUCACAUCAUCUGCUAAAAUGUCAACACUCUUUAUGUCCUUCCAUGCCUUGAUCGAUUCAGAAGCCACAACUGAUUUAGAUGAGAUUGAAGCCAUCAAAAUUCCUGGACUAGAAGCGAUACCCAGAUCAUGGAUUCCCCCGCCACUUUUACAGAACACGAAUAAUCUCCUUAAAACCUAUUUCUUGGAGAAUGGCAAGAAAAUGGCAGAAUCAAGUGGGAUUCUUGUCAAUACAUUUGAGAGUAUUGAGCACGAACCACUCAGAAAGCUAAAUGAAGGAAAAGUAAUAGAAGGGUUGCCACCAGUUAUUGCCAUUGGACCACUUGCACCUUGUGAAUUUGAAAAGAUCCAACCAUUACCAUGGCUUGAUGAACAACCGGCGGGGUCUGUGGUGUAUGUCAGCUUUGGUAGUAGGACUGCUAUGUCAAGAGAGCAACUCAAAGAGUUGGGUGAAGGGCUGGCAAUUAGUGGUCAUAGGUUUCUGUGGAUGGUAAAGGAUAAGAAAGUUGAUCGAGAGGAUGAAGAAGACUUAGGUCAGGUAAUUGGAAGUGGGUUAAUGGAGAAGUUGAAGGAAAAAGGGUUGGUGGUGAAGUACUGGCUAAACCAAGAGGCGAUACUAAGCCACCCAGCAGUUGGUGGAUUUUUGAGUCAUUGUGGUUGGAAUUCAAUAACAGAGGCUAUAUGGAAUGGAGUGCGCAUAUUAGCAUGGCCCCAACAUGGAGACCAGAAAAUCAAUGCUGAUAUUGCGGAGAAAAUUGGAUUAGGGACUUGGGAGAAGAGUUGGGGAUGGGGUGAAGAGACGGCAGUGAACGGAACAGAUAUUGCAGAAAAAAUUAAGGAGAUGAUGGGUAAUGAAUUGUUGAGACAUCAAGCAAUGCACAUCAGAGAAGAGGCUAGGACAGCUGUGGAAAUUGGAGGCAGCUCAAGGAUGGGGCCGAUGGAACUCAUCGAGACAUGGAAGAAGACCUGAAUUCGCAACUUCGUGUUUUCCACUUUAUUUUUUUUCAAACAUAGUAUUUUCUGUUUUUUUACCUUCAUAAAACGGAGCGUUUAUGGAUUAUUUUGAUUUUCUUUUCAAGUAAUUGCAGAAGUGGCCCUUUUUCUUCUUAAAUAAAAUGCCACGACAUCGUAUUUAUUUGAUCGGAUUUUUUUUUUUCGAAAU